rnacentral:rRNA from 1 species
AUUAGUUUUUUAAUUGAAGGCUAGAAUGAAUGGUUGGACAAGAAAUAAUCUGUCUUAAAUUAAGAUAUUGAAUUUAACUUUUAAGUGAAAAGGCUUAAAUGAUCUAAGGGGACGAUAAGACCCUAUAAAACUUUAUAUUUUAAGGUGGAAAUUAAUUUUAUUUUGAGGAUUACUAUUUUAAAAUGUUUCGUUGGGGCGACAAGGAUAUAAGAAAGGGUAACUGUCUUUUGGUUUAACAGUAAUAUUUGGUUUGUUGAUCCUAAAAAGGAUUAAAGAUUAAGUUACUUUAGGGAUAACAGCGUGAUUUUCUUUGAGAGUUCUUAUCGACAAGAAAGUUUGCGACCUCGAUGUUGAAUUAAAGGUUCUUUAUAGAGUAGAGACUAUAAGAGAGGGUCUGUUCGACCUUUAAAGUUUUACAUGAUUUGAGUUCAGACCGG